CUGGUAGUCCACGCCGUAAACGAUGUCGACUUGGAGGUUGUUCCCUUGAGGAGUGGCUUCCGGAGCUAACGCGUUAAGUCGACCGCCUGGGGAGUACGGCCGCAAGGUUAAAACUCAAAUGAAUUGACGGGGGCCCGCACAAGCGGUGGAGCAUGUGGUUUAAUUCGAUGCAACGCGAAGAACCUUACCUACUCUUGACAUCCAGAGAACUUAGCAGAGAUGCUUUGGUGCCUUCGGGAACUCUGAGACAGGUGCUGCAUGGCUGUCGUCAGCUCGUGUUGUGAAAUGUUGGGUUAAGUCCCGCAACGAGCGCAACCCUUAUCCUUUGUUGCCAGCGGUCCGGCCGGGAACUCAAAGGAGACUGCCAGUGAUAAACUGGAGGAAGGUGGGGAUGACGUCAAGUCAUCAUGGCCCUUACGAGUAGGGCUACACACGUGCUACAAUGGCGCAUACAAAGAGAAGCGACCUCGCGAGAGCAAGCGGACCUCAUAAAGUGCGUCGUAGUCCGGAUCGGAGUCUGCAACUCGACUCCGUGAAGUCGGAAUCGCUAGUAAUCGUAGAUCAGAAUGCUACGGUGAAUACGUUCCCGGGCCUUGUACACACCGCCCGUCACACCAUGGGAGUGGGUUGCAAAAGAAGUAGGUAGCUUAACCUUCGGGAGGGCGC
rnacentral:rRNA from 1 species